rnacentral:rRNA from 1 species
AGUGAACGCUGGCGGUAGGCCUAACACAUGCAAGUCGAACGGCAGCACAGUAAGAGCUUGCUCUUACGGGUGGCGAGUGGCGGACGGGUGAGGAAUACGUCGGAAUCUACUUUUUCGUGGGGGAUAACGUAGGGAAACUUACGCUAAUACCGCAUACGACCUACGGGUGAAAGCAGGGGAUCUUCGGACCUUGCGCGAUUGAAUGAGCCGAUGUCGGAUUAGCUAGUUGGCGGGGUAAAGGCCCACCAAGGCGACGAUCCGUAGCUGGUCUGAGAGGAUGAUCAGCCACACUGGAACUGAGACACGGUCCAGACUCCGACGGGAGGCAGCGGUGGGGAAUAUUGGACAAUGGGCGAAAGCCUGAUCCAGCCAUACCGCGUGGGCGAAGAAGGCCUUCGGGUUGUAAAGCCCUUUUGUUGGGAAAGAAAAGCAGCAGGUUAAUACCCCGCUGUUCUGACGGUACCCAAAGAAUAAGCACCGGCUAACUUCGUG